rnacentral:tRNA from 1 species
GAUUCGAUAUUGUAGUGGUUAUUACGUUCGCCUCACACGCAAAAGGUCCCCAAUUCGAAACUGGGUGGAAACA